AUCUUUCUAGUAUCAAAGUUAGUACAAGUGACUUCCAUCAUUUAGUCUUGGUUAAAUCCCAGGGAGAGAUA
rnacentral:tRNA from 1 species